rnacentral:rRNA from 1 species
UCUAAGUUUGAUGGCGACCGGCGCACGGGUGAGUAACACGUAUCCAACCUGCCGAUGACUCGGGGAUAGCCUUUCGAAAGAAAGAUUAAUACCCGAUGGCAUAGUUCUUCCGCAUGGUAGAACUAUUAAAGAAUUUCGGUUAUCGAUGGGGAUGCGUUCCAUUAGGCAGUUGGUGGGGUAACGGCCCACCAAACCUUCGAUGGAUAGGGGUUCUGAGAGGAAGGUCCCCCACAUUGGAACUGAGACACGGUCCAAACUCCUACGGGAGGCAGCAUG